ACGAAUGAACGAACAAAUGAUACUACCCACGACUCCCUGUGGGAUCUGGUCCUCGUAGGCGGAACUUCUCUCGGAGGCUGCAGUGCUAACCCAGGCCUGGUGAAUGGCAUGGGGAACAGACACAUAAGAAGUAUCAUUCAAUGAAUGAGCUGUCUUGUCUUCAGGGCCUCAGUUUCCACACUUGUAAAAGGAGGCGUUGGAAGAAAUCAAUGCUUUUCCACCCCUGUGACUGGAAACCCUCUGGAAGGGGCUCCCACCUGCUCCUUUCCCGCUGUGGGUUUCAAAUCGGCAAAUGAGCACACUCAAGACGAGGGAACGGAGUUUUCGUGAAGCCGGGUGUCCUCCUGGAAAUGAAGUCUGGGACCCUCCACCCUGGUGCUCUGCUGAUUGCCACAAACAAUGAGGCAUUUUCCACCACACAAAGAAGAAUUAAACCGCCCGAGGACUCGCUUUUGCUUUUGUCUGUUUCCUAUUUUGGGCUUCCUUUGAAAAAGUGGUUUUGCUGCUUUAUAAAGUUUGAUGAUCUCUGAA